AUUGAACGCUGGCGGCAUGCCUUACACAUGCAAGUCGAACGGCAGCACGGGUGCUUGCACCUGGUGGCGAGUGGCGAACGGGUGAGUAAUACAUCGGAACAUGUCCUGUAGUGGGGGAUAGCCCGGCGAAAGCCGGAUUAAUACCGCAUACAAUCUACGGAUGAAAGCGGGGGACCUUCGGGCCUCGCGCUAUAGGGUUGGCCGAUGGCUGAUUAGCUAGUUGGUGGGGUAAAGGCCUACCAAGGCGACGAUAAGUAGCUGGUCUGAGAGGACGACCAGCCACACUGGGACUGAGACACGGCCCAGACUCCUACGGGAGGCAGCAGUGGGGAAUUUUGGACAAAGGGCGAAAGCCUGAUCCAGCAAUGCCGCGUGUGUGAAGAAGGCCUUCGGGUUGUAAAGCACUUUUGUCCGGAAAGAAAUCCUUGGCCCUAAUACGGUCGGGGGAUGACGGUACCGGAAGAAUAAGCACCGGCUAACUACGUG
rnacentral:rRNA from 1 species